AGUGAACGCUGGCGGUAGGCCUAACACAUGCAAGUCGAACGGCAGCACAGGAGAGCUUGCUCUCUGGGUGGCGAGUGGCGGACGGGUGAGGAAUACAUCGGAAUCUACUCUGUCGUGGGGGAUAACGUAGGGAAACUUACGCUAAUACCGCAUACGACCUACGGGUGAAAGCAGGGGAUCUUCGGACCUUGCGCGAUUGAAUGAGCCGAUGUCGGAUAAGCUAGUUGGCGGGGUAAAGGCCCACCAAGGCGACGAGCCGUAGCUGGUCGGAGAGGAUGAUCAGCCACACGGGAACUGAGACACGGUCCAGACCCCUACGGGAGGAAGCAGUGGGGAAUAUUGGACAAUGGGCGCAAGCCUGUUCCAGCCAUACCGCGUGGGUGAAGAAGGCCUUCGGGUUGUAAAGCCCUUUUGUUGGGAAAGAAAUCCAGCUGGCUAAUACCCGGUUGGGAUGACGGUACCCAAAGAAUAAGCACCGGCUAACUUCGUGCCAGCCGCCGCAGUAA
rnacentral:rRNA from 1 species